CCUACGGGAGGCAGCAGUGAGGAAUAUUGGUCAAUGGACGAGAGUCUGAACCAGCCAAGUAGCGUGAAGGAUGACUGCCCUAUGGGUUGUAAACUUCUUUUAUAUGGGAGUAAAAUGUUCCACGUGUGGGAUUUUGUAUGUACCAUAUGAAUAAGGAUCGGCUAACUCCGUGCCAGCAGCCGCGGUAAUACGGAGGAUCCGAGCGUUAUCCGGAUUUAUUGGGUUUAAAGGGAGCGUAGGUGGAUUGUUAAGUCAGUUGUGAAAGUUUGCGGCUCAACCGUAAAAUUGCAGUUGAAACUGGCAGUCUUGAGUACAGUAGAGGUGGACGGAAUUCGUGGUGUAGCGGUGAAAUGCUUAGAUAUCACGAAGAACUCCGAUUGCGAAGGCAGUUCACUGGACUGCAACUGACACUGAGGCUCGAAAGUGUGGGUAUCAAACAGGAUUAGAUACCCCUGUAGUC
rnacentral:rRNA from 1 species